rnacentral:rRNA from 1 species
UACAGAGGAGCCAAGCGUUGUCCGGAUUGACUGGGCGUAAAGCGCACGCAGGCGGUUGCGCGCGUGGGGGGUGAAAUCUGGCCGCUUAACGGCCAGGCGCCAUCCCAUACGGCGCGACUGGAGUGAUGCAGAGGUCGAUGGAAUUGCCGGUGUAGUGGUGAAAUGCGUAGAGAUCGGGAAGAACAUCAGUGGCGAAGGCGGUCUGCUGGGCCGUUGCUGACGCUGAGGCGCGACAGCGUGGGGAGCAAACAGG